rnacentral:rRNA from 1 species
CCUUGAAAUACCACCCUUUAAUGUUUGAUGUUCUAACGUGGAUCCGUGAUCCGGGUUGCGGACAGUGUCUGGUGGGUAGUUUGACUGGGGCGGUCUCCUCCUAAAGAGUAACGGAGGAGCACGAAGGUUGGCUAAUCCUGGUCGGACAUCAGGAGGUUAGUGCAAUGGCAUAAGCCAGCUUGACUGCGAGCGUGACGGCGCGAGCAGGUGCGAAAGCAGGUCAUAGUGAUCCGGUGGUUCUGAAUGGAAGGGCCAUCGCUCAACGGAUAAAAGGUACUCCGGGGAUAACAGGCUGAUACCGCCCAAGAGUUCAUAUCGACGGCGGUGUUUGGCACCUCGAUGUCGGCUCAUCACAUCCUGGGGCUGAAGUAGGUCCCAAGGGUAUGGCUGUUCGCCAUUUAAAGUGGUACGCGAGCUGGGUUUAGAACGUCGUGAGACAGUUCGGUCCCUAUCUGCCGUGGGCGCUGGAGAACUGAGGGGGGCUGCUCCUAGUACGAGAGGACCGGAGUGGACGCAUCACUGGUGUUCGGGUUGUCAUGCCAAUGGCACUGCCCGGUAGCUAAAUGCGGAAGAGAUAAGUGCUGAAAGCAUCUAAGCACGAAACUUGCCCCGAGAUGAGUUCUCCCUGAGACUUAGAGUCUCCUGAAGGAACGUUGAAGACGACGACGUUGAUAGGCCGGGUGUGUAAGCGCAGCGAUGCGUUGAGCUAACCGGUACUAAUGAACCGUGAGGCUUAACCUU